CUUCGUCCGGCCGGAGCCCCCAGACUUCUGGCCGCGCGUCCUCACGUGGACAGAAAGAAGGCACUGCUCCUCCAGAAAAUGCCGGUCGCCUGACGCCCCUCCCUCCGCCUCGCUCCUCCGCGCCUCGCCGUGUCCCUGCGCUCCUGGCAGGUGCGGGGCCAGGUCGCGCGGGGCCAGCCUGCCCACAUUCUCCGCACCCUCGGUCGAAUUCCCUCCUUCCCGCUUUCUCUUGUCCCUUUCCCAUCCGUGUUCUCUGUCCUGCGCCUCCUUCUCGGGCCUAAGCUCCGCCGGACCUCCGGCUCGGCGCUCGGGGUCCCCUCAUCUCCGCCCCUUGCCGGGGCUUCGCGUCCCGCACCCCUUGCUGUCCGCCCGGAGCGCCUCCCCUGCGGAAACAGACAAAAAACCGCUGCCCCCGCCUACUUGAGCCUAAGUUACGGAGCAGGAGGGUAGGGGGAGAAGCCAUAGAUCUUAAUAAACAGUGGGUCACGUGGUGUCUUGGAAGCGGUACCUGCUGGGGGAAAUCAGACACCGAGGAGGAAGGUCUGCGACUUGGGUCGGAAGGUCUGUCGGAGAAGGACUGGGAGCACGGAUCUCGGAUAGCCAGCGAUCUGCCGGAUCGCCACUGAGGGAUCCUCCCUGCCCCCAGCAGAAGUCACUUUGGAGCCGGUGCCCCGGCUGCAAAGGGCCUGGGUGGGCGUCCUGGGUCCGUUGGGCCGGACAGCUUCCGGGCGCGCCGCCUCUGUGGCGUUGCCUGGUGUCGAUGAGGAUGCCUGAGCGCCGGGGGGAAAUGUUGGGAGCGGUGACCUCCCGCGGAGCCGCUAUCUCACCCAAGGCUUUUGAGAGGAUCGUUACCGACCUGGACACGACCGGGAUACGUCCAGCGGGACUGGCUGGAUGAAUGAUCACCUGUGGCAGGACGUUGUGGUACGCUGUAAAAUGGAUGCUGGAAAGACCUUUAUAAUAUAUUAAGAAAAAAUAGGGAAUUCCCUGGCUGUCCAGUUGUUAGGACUCGGUGUGUCACUGCCGCUGCCCAGGUUUGACUCUCCGGAGGGAAUUAAGAUCCCGGAAGUCAGAGGGAACGUGCAAGAAAAAAAAGAACUGAAUGACCGCAAUUUUCUGAAUAUAAAAAUAUUUAUUACAAACCUAUCUCUAGGUGAUGGAAUUAUUGGAGAUAUUUGUAAUAUUUCUUCUUAAUCAAUAUUUUCUUAUUUAUUUCAUGACCAUGAAUGACAUUGUUUUUAGCUUGAAAGAAAGACCAAUGCAAGUUAUUUUUAAAAAGAAAGUGUACUGUCAUCCUAUGUAUUUUUAAAAAUUUUGUUGUUUAUUUA
ensembl:lncRNA